GACGGGGGGGGGGCAAGUGUUCUUCGGACUGACUGGGCGUAAAGGGCACGUAGGCGGUGAAUCGGGUUGAAAGUGAAAGUCGCCAAAAAGUGGCGGAAUGCUCUCGAAACCAUUUCAGUUGAGUGAGACAGAGGAGAGUGGAAUUUCGUGUGUAGGGGUGAAAUCCGUAGAUCUACGAAGGAACGCCGAAAGCGAAGGCAGCUCUCUGGGUCACAACCGACGCUGGGGUGCGAAAGCAUGGGGAGCGAACAGG
rnacentral:rRNA from 1 species